rnacentral:lncRNA from 1 species
GAGAGGGUUUUGAAAAUCAGACAGAGUGUGGACUCGGACUGGAUCAAGGUUGGGCUAGGCACAAGCCCUUGGCUAGAACCAAAAGGGGCCAAGGUUCAGACCAAGGUGUGAACCUGGUUCGGACCUAGCCUGGGCUAGGUACAAGACUGAAUCUAGACCAAGAAGGUUUUGAAAAUCAGAUCGGGUGUGGACCCGGAUUGGAUCAAGGUUGUGUUAGGCACGCGUCUUGGCUUGGACCAAAAGGGGGCCUAGGUUCUGACCAAGGUGUGAACCUGGUUCAGACUUGGGCUAGGCUGAGUACAAGACUGAACUUAGACCCAGAAGGUUUCAAAUAUUGAUCGAGUGUAGACCUUGACUAAGGUUUAGGUGAGCUUUGAUGUGAGCUUUGGCUCGCACCAAGAGGAAGUCUAAGUUCGGACCUAGUGGUGAACUUGAGUUGGGCUAGAUAUGAGCCUGGACUUAGACCCAGCAAGGUUAAGCUCGGACCUGAAGGGUCUGGACUAAAAUCUAAGACGUAUUAAUGCAAACAAAACACUUGAAAACUUUUUCCCUAAAUUGUGGGUAGGCUAGGUUUGAGUGGAUUCCUAACUAUAGAAAUGCGGCUAGGCUGAGUAGGUCCCCACGUAGGUCCUGGUAUCCUGUUAUAAGAAUCAACUAGGUCCUACUAUGUGUGGAGUUGCUUUGAAGCUAAGAAUUACGGAGGGGCGCUCACAGUUAAAGUUAUGUUAAUCCCAACCGCCUCGGCUCUCAAUGCUAAGUUCCCCUCACGACCGUUAGUGCCAAAUUUUGGGGCUUUUCGAAUUUUUUUUUUGGUUUCCCAGGCAUUCCUAGUCUAUUGAGUGCAAGAGUGUGUAAAGAAGCAUGCAAGGGAAAAAAAAGAAGAAGCAAACAUGCAAACAUACAAUGCAAGAAAGAAAUGUGAGCACUUG